AGCGAACGCUGGCGGCAGGCCUAACACAUGCAAGUCGAGCGGGCACUUCGGUGUCAGCGGCAGACGGGUGAGUAACACGUGGGAACGUACCCUUCGGUUCGGAAUAACGCUGGGAAACUAGCGCUAAUACCGGAUACGCCCUUUUGGGGAAAGGUUUACUGCCGAAGGAUCGGCCCGCGUCUGAUUAGCUAGUUGGUGGGGUAAUGGCCUACCAAGGCGACGAUCAGUAGCUGGUCUGAGAGGAUGAUCAGCCACACUGGGACUGAGACACGGCCCAGACUCCUACGGGAGGCAGCAGUGGGGAAUAUUGGACAAUGGGCGCAAGCCUGAACCAGCCAUGCCGCGUGAGUGAUGAAGGCCUUAGGGUUGUAAAGCUCUUUUGUCCGGGACGAUAAUGACGGUACCGGAAGAAUAAGCCCCGGCUAACUUCGUG
rnacentral:rRNA from 1 species